rnacentral:rRNA from 1 species
UACGUAGGGGGCAAGCGUUAUCCGGAAUUAUUGGGCGUAAAGAGUACGUAGGUGGCAACCUAAGCGCAGGGUUUAAGGCAAUGGCUCAACCAUUGUUCGCCCUGCGAACUGGGAUGCUUGAGUGCAGGAGAGGAAAGCGGAAUUCCUAGUGUAGCGGUGAAAUGCGUAGAUAUAUGGAGGAACACCGGUGGCGAAAGCGGCUCUCUGGCCUGUAACUGACACUGAGGCUCGAAAGCGUGGGGAGCAAACAGG